UACAGGACGUCCCAGGCCUACCUCUCUCCAGACCUAGCACUAAAGAACCGCCCCCCCUCUUCCCCCCUCCCCGUUUCAUCCCAAAGGGUUACCCCAGAAAUCGAUCUAUGGCCUCCUUUCUGGGAUUUUGGCAGGAACAGGGGUCUUAGGUUAAGUUGGCAAGUUGGGUAGUGAAAUAACCCAUUUUGUGAACUGCAAGCCUCAUCGAUAAUUCCAUGAGCUGCUGGUCAAACUGUCAAACUGAUGCUAGCCCUAGGAGGGCACAUGCACUAGUGAAGUGCAGUCCAUCUGUCUGUGUGUGCUUAAUCAAAAGAACCUCACCCCUAUUUGUUUUCCCUCGUUUUGGACUCCCAGCAUCGUAUAGGUCUUCUAGAUUUUGUCGAGGUGAUCAUUGUUGUAGGAAUUUCAGUGUUUGGUAACUGCUUAUUAACAGCAUUCUAGCAAUAGAAGAUUAGCUACCUCUGAAGCACACAAACCUUUGGAAACUUAGGUUUUCUGGUUUUCGAAUUGUUUCCGUGUGGAGCCAAGGUCUAUUCUCAUGCUACUGAGCUAAGAUUUCCCUGUUUGUAAAAUGUUUUCAUUUCUGAAACCCAGCCAUUGUUGUGUUAUGGCCCAACUAAGAACUAACUAUUAUUGUCUAAAUCAGGUCAAGUCGACGCGAUCCGUUUGGGGAUCAGCAGGGCAUUACAAUGUUGGGAACCUGGAUUGCGUCCUCCACUCAGAGAAGCUGGGUUUUUGACAAGAGAUCCUAGAGUUGUGGAGCGGAAAAAGCCGGGUAAAGCAAAAGCACGAAAGAGCUUCCAAUGGGUCAAGCGUUAAUGUGUAUCAUUUCGCAACACCCUCGAUUGUCAUGUUUGUUGCCAGGAAAUUCAUUCGGCCCCCUAUGGAACUCAUAGCUCUCUCAGUUUAGUUUUAGUUCCUUGCUCUAUAAAGUCCUUUUUCGUUGCUUUUACGAGUACUAGAGUAAAUUUUUUGUUAUUUCAUCCGAGGCAGAACAUGAAGUUCUAAAUUUGGUAAUUAACCUUGAAAUCUGCAAUCAAUACCUCCAUAAAACACGGCUGUCUGCAUGGUUGCAUAGCCGUUUCAUGUAUACAAAAGGCAAAAAGUGAUGAUGUAUGAUGGAUUUAUACCAACUUGUGAGGGCGCCAAGCCAAAAGUGCCAAGCUUUGUUUU